UGGUUCUGGCAUCGAUGAAGAACGCAGCGAAAUGCGAUAAGUAAUGUGAAUUGCAGAAUUCAGUGAAUCAUCGAAUCUUUGAACGCACAUUGCGCCCACUGGUAUUCCGAUGGGCAUGCCUGUUCGAGCGUCAUUAUCAACCCUCAAGCCUGGCUUGUUAUUGAACUACGUAUCGAUUGAAAUUUCUCGAUAAGUUUGAAAGAUAAUGGCGGAGUCAAGAUAGCCUCCAGAUGCAGCGAGCUUUUUAGCACACAUCUUGGUGGGUUUCUCGAAACCAAGCCUUUUAAUAAAUUUCUAAGGUUGACCUCGGAUCAGGUAGGAUUACCCGCUGA
rnacentral:misc_RNA from 1 species